AUUGAACGCUGGCGGCAGGCCUAACACAUGCAAGUCGAGCGGAUGAAGGGAGCUUGCUCCUGGAUUCAGCGGCGGACGGGUGAGUAAUGCCUAGGAAUCUGCCUGGUAGUGGGGGAUAACGUCCGGAAACGGGCGCAAAUACCGCAUACGUCCUGAGGGAGAAAGUGGGGGAUCUUCGGACCUCACGCUAUCAGAUGAGCCUAGGUCGGAUUAGCUAGUUGGUGGGGUAAAGGCCUACCAAGGCGACGAUCCGUAACUGGUCUGAGAGGAUGAUCAGUCACACUGGAACUGAGACACGUUCCAGACUCCUACGGGAGGCAGCAGUGGGGAAUAUUGGACAAUGGGCGAAAGCCUGAUCCAGCCAUGCCGCGUGUGUGAAGAUGGUCUUCGGAUUGUAAAGCACUUUAAGUUGGGAGGAAGGGCAGUAAGUUAAUACCUUGCUGUUUUGACGUUACCAACAGAAUAAGCACCGGCUAACUUCGUG
rnacentral:rRNA from 1 species